rnacentral:pre_miRNA from 1 species
GUGAUACUCCCUCCGUUUGGAAUUACUUGUCUCGAAAAUGGAUGUAUCUAGAACUAAAAUACAUCUAGAUACAUCCAUUUCUGUGACAAGUAAUUCCGAACGGAGGGAGUACAUU